UGGGGAAUAUUGGACAAUGGGCGAAAGCCUGAUCCAGCCAUGCCGCGUGUGUGAAGAAGGUCUUCGGAUUGUAAAGCACUUUAAGUUGGGAGGAAGGGUAGUUACCUAAUACGUAUCUGUUUUGACGUUACCGACAGAAUAAGCACCGGCUAACUCUGUGCCAGCAGCCGCGGUAAUACAGAGGGUGCAAGCGUUAAUCGGAAUUACUGGGCGUAAAGCGCGCGUAGGUGGUUAGUUAAGUUGGAUGUGAAAUCCCCGGGCUCAACCUGGGAACUGCAUUCAAAACUGACUGACUAGAGUAUGGUAGAGGGUGGUGGAAUUUCCUGUGUAGCGGUGAAAUGCGUAGAUAUAGGAAGGAACACCAGUGGCGAAGGCGACCACCUGGACUGAUACUGACACUGAGGUGCGAAAGCGUGGGGAGCAAACAGGAUUAGAUACCCGUGUAGUCCCUGAGCGGGCUGGCAAGGCGCAU
rnacentral:rRNA from 1 species